GCCGAAGUAGCACAGUUGGUAGUGCAACUGAUUUGUAAUCAGUAGGUUCUGGGUUCAAGUCCUAGUGUCGGCACCA
rnacentral:tRNA from 1 species